rnacentral:rRNA from 1 species
GACGAACGCUGGCGGCGUGCUUAACACAUGCAAGUCGAACGGAGAGGUCCUACUUGUGUGCUUUGCUCGGGUGGCGAUCGGGUGUGUAACACGUGCGUAUCCUUACCUUGACUGUGAGAUAACUUCAGGAAACUGGGGCUAGUACCGGAUAAGUGCUCCUACUGCAUGGUGCGCGAUCGAAAGUUUCGGCGGUGGGGGAUGGUCUCGCGGCUUAUCAGCUUGUUGGGUGGGUAUUGGCUUACCAAGGCUUUGACGCGUAGCAGGCCUGAGAGGAUGACCGGACACGUUGGGUUUGGGAUACGGCACAGACCCCUACCGGACGCAGGAGAGCGGAAUAUUGUACAAUGGGCGGAAGCCUGACGCAGUAACGCCGCGUGCGGGAUGACGGCCUGCGGGUUGUAAACCGCUCUCGCAUGAGACGAGACGUGAGUGACGGUAACGGGUAAAGAAGCACCGGCUAACUACGUG